AUGCUCAACCGCAGUGAUAGUGAGCAUAUCGCCACUAACUACUUCAAGCCAAAACGGAGCAGUCAGCUGUUGGCUGCCGACUCUAUUAAAAACACAAUGAAUUAUUCUGGUUCAGUCGGUAAUGGUGCAGUGCACCAGACCUCUGUUGGGUCCAGUUUGUCUCCUCUAAACAUGGAAUCCCCCCUUCCACGCCCCUUCCGUUUGGAGUCCCUUGGAGUCCCACCUGCACAUGGCAAAGUAAAACGCAAGAAGAGCAAGACGCUCAUCCCAACUGAAGGCAACUGACAGGACAUGGCUUGACAAAUCUAUCUUUUUAAGCUGCUUUUAUCUGUUUUUAAUUCAUAUGUAUGUAUAUAAAGACGUGAUUUUGUUGUAGUAGUGAUUAAUGACAAACGGUAAUUUUGUGAACUAACUUUAAAUUCUAAAUGUCACACAAUGCAGCAUGAAACACUGUAUAACCAUAGGAAUUGUAACUAAUACUACCUGAAGUUAUAGAAAUAAUGCUACCUAAUGUUUAUACUGAGAGUUUUCAACACAAAAAAAACACUUUUUGUGAUAUUUUAAUGUAUGUUACUGUCUACAUCAUUAAAUAAAUAACAUACUGGUACGGAAUAAAAUUCAAACAUACUGGUAAAUUUUUUUAUUUUAUUUUUUAAUGUAUAGCCUAAAUGCACUGUAAGUCGCUUUUGAUAAAAGCAUCUGCUAAAUGCAUAAAUGUAAAUGUAAAAUGUAAAUAUUUUUUUCCUGAAAAACUAGUCUAAUUUGUUUGUCCUUUUUAAGAUUUAUCCUAAAGUAGUCUAAUAAUCCUGGUUAUGGCUGAUCAUAUUCAACAUGGAGACCAUGUAAAACAAAAUACAUUUUUCUAGGCCACUUACAUAACUCAUUUAAUGUGAGUGGAUAAAAUCAAGUCUCACUUUUGUUCUAUAGACUAAUAUCAACACAUGGGUUGCAAAUCUUGUUUUGUGUUGCUGUCUUCAAUUUGCAAAAUCGGAUGUGUGUCAGAGUGCAUACUGUCUAGUGCACAUUUUGGUGAUUAACCUCUUGCAGCCAGACUCAAAACAAUAAGAUGUGGUAAAUUUAAGUCCUAACUUCACUGCAAUGAAUAGAUAAGUAAAAUACGUAUUCGCUUUGUGUAUUUGUGAGACUUUGGAGCCCCCUACAGUUCAAUAAGUGGAAUUCACUGUAGUAAGUGUAAUUACAUUGGAUAGAGCCUCUGACAAACUGUGUGUGAGGGCUAAUCAAAAUCAUAAAGUUCACAAUUUUUACAGCAGUGCAUCACCUGAUUAAUUUUUCCACAUGUGUUUUAUUAAUCUGAUUGCAGUGGGACUGAACCAGUUAUAUUUUUCACCAUGGUUUCAACCACAAGUAUACCAAUUGUAAAGGUUCAAAAAGCAACUAGACAAACUUUAAACCAAGUAAGACAUAUUAAGCUGAAAUUAUUGCUUUAUUCAUGUGUGUUCUGUGGUUAAACAUUGCCGUAAUUUAUGGCUGCUUUUCAUGUGCAUUAUUGUGUGGAUUUGGUUAGAUGAGCAGCUGCCAAAGGGCCACUGUUAACUGAGUAAAUACAAACAGAAGGAACCAUUCUCAGUGUAAGUCAUGAACUAGGUCACAUUGCGAGAUAAAGAACUUUAAUGACAGAUGAAUCUGAGAGGCCAGGUAACAUGAAGACCAGUCUGUUGGAUGCAACUCAAGAUAAUGUGCUAAUCCACUGAAGUGCUGUGUCAGAUCUCACUGACCGGCGUGUAAAAUGAGGAGUUUGACUGAUAGCUGAUCUUUGGAAGCCUGGGUUCCUAAGGUUCAACAGUCUCUGGUGAAGCAGAUAUAUUCCAUUGUAUUUGGAAAAAACAGGAAGUGAAUUUCUGAAGAAACUGAUUAGCAAAACAGGCAUGAUUCAUAAAGACAGAUUUGGAGCAUCUGUUAGGUCUAGCUCCAAAUUAAAGUUACUAGGAUCACCUGGAAAAGUAAACAUACUCUAUUAUCACAAAGGCAUCCAUUUGUUAUAGUCCCUAUUUAGAAUCAAUAAUUAAUGGAAUAAAGGUAAAGUGCCACACUGUAUUAAUUGAAAUUGUUAAAAGCCAUUUCUGUGCAACUAGUGCGGAAUUGCAAAAAUAAUGACCAUUGGUUGAGCUGAUGUUGGUCAGUAUGUUUUUACAUAUUCCAGAGGAAUCAGCAAACCAGUGGCUUUUAACAUUAUUAAAAUUGCACACUCCACUUUUAUUAAUUGGUUGUUAAGUCAGACGUCAUGUGUCACAGUUUCUGGGUCCAAACCAUACAGUCUAUGGUCCAAACGCUUCUUUAGACGCCAAAAAGCAAACAACAAACAAUGAUAAUAAGCACUCAGUGUGUGCUGCAGUCCUACUGACAUUAACCUAAUUUUUAUAUCCAGACCCCAAUCUAAGUAGGCUACAUAGUGAUUAUUGUUUAAAAAAAUAAUAAUACAUUUUUUUAAAUAUUUACCAGAGACCGGAGAUUGCACUGUGAGAAUGUGCUCAUAGAGUUAUGGCCGAAAAUAUCGGCACCCUCUGUAAAUAUGAUCAAAGAAGGCUGUAGAAAAAUUAAUGUGCAUUGUUAAUCUUUUAAUUAAAAAAAAUUCAAAAAAAUCUAACCUUUCACUGGAUAAUAAGAAUUUAAAAUGGGUGGAAAUAUCAUUAUGAAAUAAAUGUUUUUCUCAAAUACACGUUGGACACAAUUAUUGGCACCCCUAGAAUUUCUUAUGAGUAAAAUAUCUCAGAAGUAUAUUCCCAUUCAUCAUUUUGAGCACUCCAGGGUGAUUAUGAAUAUGAAAUUAUCCAUCCAAGGCUUCCUGUUUCACAGAAAUAUAAAUAUGAGGGAAAACAAAGCCCAAAUUCCCUUAAUCAUCCAUCACAAUGAGAAAAACCAAAGAAUAUAUUUCUGAUGUGCAGCAAAAGAUAAUUGAGCUUCACAAAUUAGUGAAGUGGCUUUAAGAAAAGAGCUAGAGCAGUGAAAAUUCCCAUUUCCACCAUCAGGGCAAUAAGGGCAAUAAUUAAAUAAUUUAAAAAGUACCCCAUGUGUACAAUGAAAUAUACUGCUGUAUUUUUGUUGUUGUGGGCCUAUAUUUCUGCUGGAGGUCCUGGACAUCUUGUUUAGAUACAUGGCAUCUUUGAGUCUAUCAAAUACCAACAGAUAAAAAAAAAAUCUCUAAGUGACUGACUCUUAUAAUGGGCCAUGUUUGGAUCUUCCAACCGUACAAUAAUCUAAACACAAACCUCAAAAACAACACAAAAAUGGGUCACUGAGCACAAAACCAAGCUUCUGCUAUGGCCAUUCCAGUUCCCUGACCUGAACCCUAUAGAAAAUGAGUGUGGUGAACUGAAGAGGAGAAGCACCAACAUGGAGCUGGGAAUCUAAAGGGUCUGAAGUGAUUCUGGAUGAAGGAAUGGUCUCUGAUCUCUUGUCAGGUGUUCUCUAACCUCAUCAGGCAUUAUAGGAGAUGUUUGGAUCUUCCAACCGUACAAUAAUCUAAACACAAACCUCAAAAACAACACAAAAAUGGGUCACUGAGCACAAAACCAAGCUUCUGCUAUGGCCAUUCCAGUUCCCUGACCUGAACCCUAUAGAAAAUGAGUGUGGUGAACUGAAGAGGAGAAGCACCAACAUGGAGCUGGGAAUCUAAAGGGUCUGAAGUGAUUCUGGAUGAAGGAAUGGUCUCUGAUCUCUUGUCAGGUGUUCUCUAACCUCAUCAGGCAUUAUAGGAGAACAUUUAGAGCUGUUAAACUGUCAAUUGGAGGUUUCAAAAAGUAUUGAAUAAAAGGGUGCCGUUAAUUGUGGCCAAUGUGUAUUAGAGAAAAACAUUUAUUUCAUAAUGACAUUUUCCCCCAUUUAAAAUUCUUAUUAUCCAAGGAAAGGUUAGAUUUUUGUAGAUUUUUAAAAAAAAUAAAAGAUCAAAAGGAUUAACAAUGCAGAUUAAUUUUCACAGCCUUCUUUGGUCAUAUUUACCAAGGGUGCCAAUAUUUUCUGUAAAUGGCUGUUGUAAUGGUAUUCUCACUUAAAACGUAAAAGAGGCUUGAUACUUUUGAUACAUCAUGACUG
rnacentral:lncRNA from 1 species